AUUGAACGCUGGCGGCAGGCCUAACACAUGCAAGUCGAGCGGAUGAAGGGAGCUUGCUCCUGGAUUCAGCGGCGGACGGGUGAGUAAUGCCUAUGAAUCUGCCUGGUAGUGGGGGAUAACGUCCGGAAACGGGCGCUAAUACCGCAUACGUCCUGAGGGAGAAAGUGGGGGAUCUUCGGACCUCACGCUAUCAGAUGAGCCUAGGUCGGAUUAGCUAGUUGGUGGGGUAAAGGCCUACCAAGGCGACGAUCCGUAACUGGUCUGAGAGGAUGAUCAGUCACACUGGAACUGAGACACGGUACAGACUCCUACGGGAGGCAGCAGUGGGGAAUAUUGGACCAUGGGCGAAAGCCUGAUCCAGCCAUGCCGCGUGUGUGAAGAAGGUCUUCGGAUUGUAAAGCACUUUAAGUUGGGAGGAAGGGCAGUAAGUUAAUACCUUGCUGUUUUGACGGUACCAACAGAAUAAGCACCGGCUAACUUCGUG
rnacentral:rRNA from 1 species